rnacentral:rRNA from 1 species
GACGAACGCUGGCGGCGUGCUUAACACAUGCAAGUCGAACGAAGUGGCGAACGGGUGAGUAACGCGUAAUCAACCUGCCCUUCAGAGGGGGACAACAGUUGGAAACGACUGCUAAUACCGCAUACUGAAGGAGGGGAUUGCGUGUGAUUAGCUAGUUGGAGGGGUAACGGCCCACCAAGGCGAUGAUCAGUAGCCGGUCUGAGGGGGUGGACGGGCAAAUUGGGACUUGGUAACGGCCCCGACUCCUACGGGAGGCAGCAGUGGGGAAUCUUCCGAAAUGGACGAAAGUCUGACGGAGCAACGCCGCGUGAGUGAUGACGGCCUUCGGGUUGUAAAGCUCUGUUAAUCGGGACGCGGUACCGGAAUAGAAAGCCACGGCUAACUACGUGCCAGCAGCCGCGGUAAUAC